rnacentral:lncRNA from 1 species
CAUAAGUGAUUGUGAGAUCAACCACCCUCUCCAUCGAGCAUACAUAGGAUAUACCAAUCUUAUCAGUAUCAUCGAUCUCUGACUCGAUUAUCUAAUGAUCGAGAAUAUUUUAGAUUGAAGCUAUCAAGAUUUUAGGUCUCACUGGUAUGAUCUCAUCAUGACCCUAAAAUUAUUGUCUUAAUCUAUGGAGUUUAUCAUAAUCAUAAAAAUAUGAUGCAGAAAAUGAUAAAAUACAAUACCUCAUAAAUAACUGAUGCAUUCAAAUGAGUUGGAAGAUGACACAGAAAAGUUCCUUCGCAUCACCCAUGUGAUUGGCUUGUAAGGCACUAUUCUUUCAAUCUCUCACUUGCACUAAAGUCAAUCACCUCUGUACCUGAUGCCCAUGCAAUCAAGAUAGUGAUCACAUUGCUGCUGUGUAAAAGCUUAGUGAACUGGUCCAAUAUACUGUUCUUUAUAUUAACUCAUUUUAUGAUCAAAUCAUGAGUG